AAAUAAUAUUAUUAUUACAAUAAUGAAAUCAAAGGAUCUAUGCCUAUUUAUACCAGCAGAGAAUAUGGCCAUAUUUCUCUUCUCCUUGUACCAUAUUUUAGCUGCAUUAGAGCAACACCGUUUCCUUCACCAAUGGCACAAACAUUCUAGAGAUGCCUUGUUUUCUUUUACAGUGAUGAAGAGAGGUUUUCUUUGGCAGCUUAACGCUGGUGUUAUUUUAAUUGCUGCCCUCCUCAUUUGGUGUAGCAUCAUUGCAGAAGGGUCUCUUCCCUCUUGUAAUGACCAUAUGCCCUCACUGCCUUUGUCAGAAUGGCCUGUUAGCAACUUGGGAGGCAAAGAAGCCCUUUACUCAGCUUUUUUCUGACAUCCCCUCACCAGAUGUUAAUAUAUGGCCCCAGUUAGCAGAAUUAGAAGUGAUGAAACUGUGAAAUUAACCCCCGUCCCACCCCUGAGUUAAUGGAAUGGAACUGGAAGCUCAGCGAAGCAGAAAGCCAGUGUCAUCAAUUUGCUUUCCAGUUACUCUCUGAGAACACAGCAGCGUCAGGAUUUCAGUCAUUGCGAACUCUGAAGUGCGGACACAAUGGAAUAACUGGUUCCUGCCUCGGGUCAAUAGCAGCUUCACAUUCCCUCCUUAUAAGCUGGCAGUGUACAAGAGACAAGGUGGGUGAGGUAAUAUCUUGUAUUGGAUCAACUUCUAUUGGGGAAAGAGACACACUUCUGAGAUACACAGAGCUCUUCUUCAGGAUAGUGUAUCAAACUUCUGGGCCAGAAACAACAGUGCUCUAGGGUCAAGUUGACCAGAUGUCCCCUCCCCCAUUUAAAAACUGGCGUGGGGUCAGAGUUUGCCCAUUUGCUCCUGGGUUAGAAUAUAUCAGCACUGCUGCGAUGUUACUCCAGAAGCCUUACAACAUGUCUUGAGCAGCUGCCUGGAGCCACGCAGAAACCCCAGAUCUCCUCACCAUCUGGAGAGAAGCAUCAGUGCAGCGCCGCACUAAAGAUCUUUUUGUGGACCUUGAUAAGCAGCUGUCUGCGUGUGAGGGGCUACAACUGCAACGCCGACCAGUUCCAGAUAAAGAGCAGACAGCUCAGAAGGACUUACAUUAAAACCAGGGACGCCAGGAAACAGUGCAGUCAUGCACCUAUAACCUGUCCAUUUUUGGAGGAGCUGGAUAGGAUUUUGAUUAAAGACACUGUUACCGACACCCAUCCCUCCCACACAAAGAGGCCAGUGAAGAGCUUUCACCAGAAAGCCAGGAUCUCUUUCCCCCAAUUCCAGCCAUGUAGGAAGCGAGCCCGAUUCCCAGCCAGAAACCCAGGCCAGGACUGAGGAGGCAAACCCUAUGGAGGGAAGCUGGACAUCCCUACCUCCUCCGCUGCCACCACCGCUGCUGGAGAAACUGCUCCUGCAGCCACGUCAUCUGCUCGGUGGUGUGGCUGGCGAAGUCCAAACCUGAAGCCACCUGGCUUCAAGAGCGGAAAUACAGCUCAAGCAGCCUCUGCGUAUGCACAGUUGCCAGCAUAGUGGCAUGGAACAUUGUUGGGUCCACGACAGCAAUUUGAAAAUGGCACUAUCCCACCCAGAAAGAGAGGAAACAUAGGACAGAGACAGUGGAAUCGUGGAGUUUUUUGGAAUUUGACUCCAUGUCCCAGAAUUCCACAGGCUUCUCUCUGGCUCCACUAAGCACCCCACAAUGCGCAGCGAGAGACAUCCCAGAGUACACACUGCAAGGACCACAGGAUCCCAGCCCUGUCUACACAACAAUAUGAACUGAAAGAGGGCACAGCUGUCCUGUGUGUAUGCCAUUAGUACGGCUGGGCAUGUUGUGAGUUAACUAAUGCACGUCAACUCACUGUGGAUUAAAACCCCUUCGUAGACAAGUCAAUCAAAAUCCACAAUCAGUGCCUGAUUUCCAGAAAGUCUGAGUGUCCCUCACUCCCAUUAGCUUUCACUGGAAUUGUGGGUUCUCAGCACUUCUGCGCAGCAGACCCUUAGUCGCUGCCCGCAAAACAAUUUCACAUCAUGCCAAAUGGUGAGGUUACGUAAAGGGAAACCAAGAAUUAAAAGGCAUCUUCAGCAGAAAGGAAGGGACUUGGGUCAAAGUAGAUUCAUUCUAGGGUGACCAGACAGCAAAGGUGAAAAAUCGGGACAGGGGAUGGGGGGGGGUAAUAGGAGCCUAUAUAAGACCCAAAAAUCGGGACUGUCCCUAUAAAAUUGGGACAUCUGGUCACUCUACUUCAUUCUGAAUGUAGGGCCCUAUCCAAACACCACUGAAGUCAAAGCCCAUUCUAACCUGCACUCAGGGCUAGGACUGGGGCUGGUAGGAAAUCAGGGAGCUGACCCCUUCUGUUGCAACCUGCCUAAAGAAACUGGCCCUAGACCUUUAGGGCAUUUGGGGGAUAAAGAUUGCCUGGAAGACACAACACACAUUAAAGAUGAACUGCAACGGCUCUUGAGCUAUUCAGGAAAGCGCAAACAAAGCAACAAGUAUUGAACUUACAAAGGAUUAUCCUGCACUUUUGCCUUCUCACUUUAUAUGAGUUCUGGUGCAGGCUUUACAAUAGGUUUUCCUGCUUGUUUACUUCGCAAUGAAGGUUAGCAAGGCAGGCUGGUGGGCCAAAGGCAUGUGCAUAGUCAAUAGAGAGUGUUUGGCUCUAUGCAUGGAGGGGACUUUCUUAUGCAGUUCAGAGGAAACAAACUCCCUAAGGAUUAACUCAAGAGUGGCACAAAGUGAUAAAAGUCAAGAAACGCAGUUAAGCCUGACACACUCAUGGCCUUAAUCCUCUUCAAACCGGUUGAAACAGUAGGAGCAGGGCUCAGCAAACACGGUCGUUUUGAAUUUCCUGAAUUUCUGCUGGUUUCUUACAAAAUCUUCAUUUUAUUCUCAGAUUCUUUUUCUAUAACUUUUGUUUUAUUUUGCUCUCCAUUGUUUGAAUGGGCUUUAAAUAUACAGUGGCUAGUGAGAAUGCAUUUUGCGCCCAGGGUGAAAUUCAUCCUGUGCAGCACAAAGUCUGUGCACCACUUAUGUCCCAUAGGCCUGUGUGGGCCUUCUUCACAGUGGUGAAUUUCAACCACCUUGCAUGAAUAUACACAAGCAGCACCAAAAUCACACACUUUGGAGUGAAAUUCACCCGUGAUCAAGGCCAGCACUAUGCCCAGUGCAUCACUUAAACCCUUUUAAGGACUUGAUCCAAAAGCCACUGAAGUCUAUGGAGGUCUUUGGGUAUGUCUACGCUGCAAAGAAAAACCCGCAGCUCCAAGUCUGAGCCCAGGUCAAUUGACUCAGGCUCAUGGGGUUCAAGCUGCGUAGCUAAAGGUAGCAGUGUAGACAUUCAGGCACAGCCUGGGCUCUGAGGCCCUCCUCCCUUGCAGGGUUUCAGACCCCGGGCCCCAGCCCAAGUGGGACUGUCUACACAGCAAUUUUUAGUCCCGCAGCCUGAGUGUCAGAGCCUGAGUCAAUUGACCUGGGCUCUGACACUUGCUGCUCAGGGUCUUUUAUUGCAGUGUAGACAUACCCUGAGAGGCCUCAAGUUCUUAACAUGGGGCUUACGUGUACUUAAGUGGUGCAUGAGACUUUGUGUGGAUCAUCCACACUGGAAUGAAUUUCACCCUUGAGAUAUAGAAGUCUCUUUAUAGCCCUGCAAAUAUAAACACUAUGCAAAUCCCAUGAGCAUGGCCUGCCAAACCACAAGAGAAAGUUUGGAUGCUUAGUUCACUAAAACCUUUGCUUAUGAUGCAAGUCUAGCAACUGAUGAACCAUAAAUAUGUAAAUACCUUUGCCAUUCUUCCAGUUGCCCAAUAACAAGCAGCGGUAGAGAGCUAGUGGGUUUCUUGUCUCCAUAGCCGAUGAGAAUGUGCUAUAAACUGACUUUGGACUCAGAUCAGUUAAUCAUUCACUUAAAAUGACUGAGGAGUUAUCACUGGGCUUUACUGGAAAAGGGUAGGUUGUGCAGUGGCGUCUCCAAAGGCUUUUCAAAGGGAUGGAGGAAGGGUUUUACUGUUGCCUCCUACACAACUCUCCCUUUUUCAGAAGAACAUGAUUCAUCUUCUAAGAAUGUACAAAGCAAAAUCAACCUAUUCCCAAGCAGCACUGCAAACAGGGAGACAGCUGGGAUGUGGAAGUAACAACAGAAUGUUUUUUUUAAACAAGAGUGUGGUUGGGGGGUGACAGAGCUGUACAAAAAACAAGCAUUAUUCUGAAGUGCAUCUGCAAACUGAGAUGAAAUCUGGGUAUGGAAAGGAUAGCACUGGGACCUGUUUGGCAGACAAGUGGUUGGACAAGUUGACCCAGUGGAUCCCUUCCAACUGGAUUGCCUUUGAAUCUAGGAUCUGAAACCUGUGCUGGAGAGUUAUGCCAACUGAGAGCUCUCACAGGCCAGGGCACCGUGGGUACUUAUUCUGUGAAAUCAGCAUUAGAGAGAAACAGUGUAGUGCCAUGAAGAUAUGCCCCUCUGAGGACUCUGCAAGCUGACAAAAGGCUAGUCCAGGGCAGGUCCUGCGAUCCCCUGGGCCUUCCCACUUCACUGACAUUAGAGGUGGAAAAGACGUAUUAGGUCAUCCUCACAAAUCAGGAUGAUCUAAUAUGACUUUUGCCUUCAAUGGGACUACUUAUCAUCUUAAAAUAUAGCAUAUGCUUAAAUGCUUUGCUGGAUAAGGGACAGAGUGCUAAGCAUCUUGUGGGAUCGUGCCUCUAGUCCAUCCACCAGCAAGAGUAUCAUUGCUCCCCUUCUCAAUGGCUGGAGUCCUGCCACUCUUGAUCUUGCCAGGUAGCUGGGUAAGCAGCAGCUCCUGCAUUUAAUGCCAAUCCCAGAGCCAAAGCCUGUCACUUCUCCUGUGUCAUGGCAAGGCAGGCUUCCAACUCUAUCCCUCAGGCCAUCUGGCUUGUGUUCUUGUAAGUUUUAAAGAAACCAAACAACUCAUCACUGGAAGCACUAAGUAUUUAUUUGCUCUUUAACAUGAUAUAUUAACUCAGUAUGUAAACUAGCCAUGGUUUCUUUGGUGUAUAUCAAAGGAGGAUCUGAACACUACAGCAGCUGAAUGUGAUAAAUAUCAGGCAUUUUUCCAAAUAGCAAAGUUUCUCUCACUCCGGCAGCUGCACAAAUCUGGAUCAUUCUUAUUGUUUAAAGCUCUCUUCAGAAUUGAAAAAACCUACUGCUGAAUGUCCUUUAAUGUUCUAACAAUUGCUGAAAUAUUCAAGCCAUCGGAACUGGAAAAGACAGUGAGGAGAAGAAGGUAAAAUACCAGUUUGUGGCUAUAGCUUCUGCACUAUGCAGAGGACACCUGCUGCCAGCAAUAACAAUCUAUCCACUUUGGAGACAAUGAAAAUACGAUUUUUGCUAUCAGCUCUUUGGCUUUUUCCUGCUUGCAUUGUACUGCAGUGGGCUUAAGUCUUCUCUUCCUAAAUAUCAGCAUCAUCGGCAUGUUACAUUUAAUGCCCAUCUAUUUAAUGCAAUAUUGGGACAGGUCUUCAUCAAGUUUAAGCAUGUGACAGACCAACAAAAUGUCUGACUAGUUUGUAAACAUACAGUUAUUAAGAUUGUGCACACAGAUGGGGCAUGUAACUGUGUGCUUAUUUUGCAUGCAUAUUUCUUUGUCUACUUUAUUUUUUUAAUCUCUUCCACAUUUUCAAAUAUUUUAGGGCCAAAAUUUCCAGAAAAAUCUGUAUGCAGUUACUAUGAUUGAAGGUGCUAGUGUGGCAAUUGGUAUUGCAAAUUACCACUUGCACACAUAAUGGAUCGUUUUCAUGUAUAAUGACUAUGACGAUGAAUGCAAUCACAUCACAUGCGCACUCAAAUUAGGCAUGCAAUUGAAUACCUACUUUUUUGAAAAUUUAGGUGUAGGACCGGUGCACGAUAGUAAUUGUAAAAUGCAAUCGUAUGCCUACAGAUUGUGAAAAAUUCUCCGUAGGAUUCCCCACUGUAAUCAGCUUCUGCAUCAUUCCAGGCAUUCUGCAGUCAUUAUCCUAAUAGAGCACCAGCCUCCUGAAACUUUAAAGGACAAGUUUGCUGUCAGCAGCUGCACAAUCUUGGAGGAGAGACGAAGACCUAAGGCAUGUCUGCCCAGUAAGAUAUAUAACCUACUGUGACUGAGCCUGGGGCAUGCUGCCACCCAUAUAGCCAUCACCAACUAACCCAGGAGCUGUCGUAUUACUUAAUAAGAGAUAUAACUGUACUGCUCAGAGCUUCUAUAGACCUUUUCAUCCUCAAAACCCUUUACAAGCCCACAGUCAGUCCUCAGCCCUCUGAGGUAGGUAAGUAAGUAGUAAUAUGCCCUUUCCUAGGUGAAGGGAGAGAAUGUAUUUCAAAUCCCUGCCUGCUCACAGGAUGAAGCACAUCGGCCGAGUAGAGUAGUGGGACGUAGGGCACAUGCUCUUGCGGCAGGGGUACCUGCGUUCUUAAAUGCAGGGGGGAGUUGUUAGCUUGAUGGGCCAGUAUAAAAGUUGAAGUUUAA